ACCUCAUCCAGAGGGGCAGAGGGAACGGCCCUGUGAAGCCCCGGCAACCACCGCGUAUGUCUCGAUGACGAGGCCGCGCGCGGCAGGUGCUAAUUCCGUCCCCGCUUGUGGCAGGUCGCCGCCGGGGAAAGAUGAGAG
rnacentral:ncRNA from 2 species